rnacentral:rRNA from 1 species
GGCCCUUUCGGGGGUACUCGAGUGGCGAACGGGUGAGUAACACGUGGGUGAUCUGCCCUGCACUUUGGGAUAAGCCUGGGAAACUGGGUCUAAUACCGGAUAGGACUACGCGAUGCAUGUCGUGUGGUGGAAAGCUUUUGCGGUGUGGGAUGGGCCCGCGGCCUAUCAGCUUGUUGGUGGGGUGAUGGCCUACCAAGGCGACGACGGGUAGCCGGCCUGAGAGGGUGACCGGCCACACUGGGACUGAGAUACGGCCCAGACUCCUACGGGAGGCAGCAGUGGGGAAUAUUGCACAAUGGGCGCAAGCCUGAUGCAGCGACGCCGCGUGAGGGAUGACGGCCUUCGGGUUGUAAACCUCUUUCAGCUCCGACGAAGCGCAAGUGACGGUAGGAGUAGAAGAAGGACCGGCCAACUACGUGCCAGCAGCCGCGGUAAUACGUAGGGUCCGAGCGUUGUCCGGAAUUACUGGGCGUAAAGAGCUCGUAGG